rnacentral:lncRNA from 1 species
UCUAAUCCAGCAGAACACUCGCACCUCAAAUGCUGCACCUUUACACUAACCUCAAACAAAAAUUCACCCCUUUCUUCACACCCUGUAAUCCCAACCUCAGAUUAACCUGAGUCUAAUGCAGCAGCAACACUCACAUCUCAAAUGCUGCACAUUUACACUAACCUCAAACGCAAACUCACCCCUUUCUUCCAUACCCUGUAAUCCCAACCUCAGAUUUUGAUAGAAAGCGGAACACUAAGAUUUGCAGACAUUAAGAGAGAAAACCACGAAUUCAAGAGACCCACCUUGACAUCUUUCGGGACCAGAUCAAGCCUAGCCUUAGGAUUCUGAUA